CCCCUAGAUAAUGAAGAGAUGAUGUCUUAUAUCUUAGCCAGCCUUCAUGAUGAUUAUGAGCCAGUUGUCUACUCCCUCGUCGGCAAGGCGGAAGCUAUCCCUGUAUUAUAUUACUAUCCUAGUGACUGAUACCUCAAUCGUCUAGC
rfam:Oryza glumipatula chromosome 9, whole genome shotgun sequence.